rnacentral:rRNA from 1 species
GACGAACGCUGGCGGCGUGCUUAACACAUGCAAGUCGAACGGGAAGGCCCUGCUUUUGUGGGGUGCUCGAGUGGCGAACGGGUGAGUAACACGUGAGUAACCUGCCCUUGACUUUGGGAUAACUUCAGGAAACUGGGGCUAAUACCGGAUAGGAGCUCCUGCUGCAUGGUGGGGGUUGGAAAGUUUCGGCGGUUGGGGAUGGACUCGCGGCUUAUCAGCUUGUUGGUGGGGUAGUGGCUUACCAAGGCUUUGACGGGUAGCCGGCCUGAGAGGGUGACCGGCCACAUUGGGACUGAGAUACGGCCCAGACUCCUACGGGAGGCAGCAGUGGGGAAUAUGGCACAAUGGGCGGAAGCCUGAUGCAGCAACGCCGCGUGCGGGAUGACGGCCUUCGGGUUGUAAACCGCUUUCGCCUGUGACGAAGCGUGAGUGACGGUAAUGGGUAAAGAAGCACCGGCUAACUACGUG